CAGCCGCCGCGGUAACACGGAGGGUGCAAGCGUUAAUCGGAAUUACUGGGGGUAAAGCGUGCGCAGGCGGUCCGCUAAGACAGAUGUGAAAUCCCCGGGCUUAACCCGGGAACUGCAUUUGUGACUGGCGGGCUAGAGUAUGGCAGAGGGGGGUAGAAUUCCACGUGUAGCAGUGAAAUGCGUAGAGAUGUGGAGGAAUACCGAUGGCGAAGGCAGCCCCCUGGGCCAAUACUGACGCUCAUGCACGAAAGCGUGGGGAGCAAACAGGAUUAGAGACCCCUGUAGUCCCUGUCUCUUAUAC
rnacentral:rRNA from 1 species